ACGGAAGGCGGCGACGGGGCCGAAGGAGGCCCGUUUGUGUCUAAACGGAGGCUCGGCCACAACGCCACUGGAUUGGUGGUAAGGCGGGGCGGGCCAGAGUCUCCAGCCUGAAGCGGAAGUGGAGGAAAGAUGGAGGACCAUCAGCACGUGCCCAUCGACAUCCAGACCAGCAAGCUGCUCGAUUGGCUGGUGGACAGAAGGCACUGCAGCCUGAAAUGGCAGAGUCUGGUGCUGACGAUCCGCGAGAAGAUCAAUGCUGCCAUCCAGGAUAUGCCAGAGAGCGAAGAGAUCGCCCAGCUGCUGUCUGGGUCCUGUGAGUGCUUAGGGGCUGUCACUGGAGUCCCCUCUUUGCUGAGGUAACAUUCACUACUUUCACUGCCUAAGAAUCCUGGACCUUCUCAAAGGCACAGAGGCCUCCACGAAAAAUAUUUUUGGCCGAUACUCUUCACAGCGGAUGAAGGAUUGGCAGGAGAUUAUAGCCCUGUAUGAGAAGGACAACACCUACUUAGGUAAAGUGGCCUGGCCUGGGAGCCCUGGUAUCCAUGGGGAAGCCCACUCUCAGAGUUCUGAGAUACCAGGCUUAUAGGAGGCACAGUCUGUGAGUGGGAAGAGACUGG
rnacentral:sRNA from 1 species